GUCAAUGUGGUGUAGUGAUUUGAAUGUUGGACCAUGACUCCCGAGACCAGGAUUCGAAUCCCUCCUCAGACC